rnacentral:rRNA from 1 species
AUCAACUCUGCUAUUCCUUUUUCCCUUUCCCUCUCUUUGGCAAACCUCACCGCGUGACACAUUGUACAAUAGUUUUUAAAAAUGCAAAGCUAAUGCUUGCACAGCAUGAAAGGGGGUAGCGAUGCCAGUUCAUUUGCCUUGUUCCUGAAAAAGACGAAAGAUUUCUAUGUGCUAUUUCAGUCAAGAUUAGGCAUGAAAGAAUGGCCUCCCCAAGCUCAAAAGCAGAACUAGAAAAACCCACAGGGACGAAUUUCUGUUUGAUCUGUUGGAGGCAGGCCCUUGUACACAGGGCUGAUGUUUCAAAGCAGAGGCCCUUCCUAAAAGAUGGAAAAUAGCAGAACACUUGUUUGUGUUGAGGAACAGCUUUUGAUUGGCUUGUGCUCAUUACAGGAUUUUGUCCUAAAUCCAAACUCAGAGAAUCUGGGGAGAUUAUAUCUUUUAGAGAAGGUACUGCUAGG